UGGAAUUGCUAGUAAUCACAGGUCAGCAUACUGUGGUGAAUACGUUCCCGGGCCUUGUACACACCGCCCGUCACACCAUGAGAGUUGAGAAUACCCGAAGCCCAUGUCAAAGUGGUCGAAGGUAGGCUUGAUGAUUGGGGUGAAGUCGUAACAAGGUACC
rnacentral:rRNA from 1 species